AUUCCAUGUUGAGGACAUUUUUUGAGCAUCUCCUUAAAUAUAUCCCAUGCCUCAUACAAUUACUCGGACUCUAUCUGUCUAAAUAGAGUAAUCUCAACCCUUAGUUG